rnacentral:rRNA from 1 species
GACGAACGCUGGCGGCGUGCUUAACACAUGCAAGUCGAGCGGUAAGGCCCCUUCGGGGGUACACGAGCGGCGAACGGGUGAGUAACACGUGAGCAAUCUUCCCAUCACAUCGGGAUAACUCCGGGAAACCGAAGCUAAUACCGAAUACGACCACCUCCGGCAUCGGAUGGUGGUGGAAAGUUCCGGCGGUGAUGGAUGAGCUCGCGGCCUAUCAGCUUGUUGGUGGGGUAACGGCCCACCAAGGCUUCGACGGGUAGCCGGCCUGAGAGGGUGACCGGCCACACUGGGACUGAGACACGGCCCAGACUCCUACGGGAGGCAGCAGUGGGGAAUAUUGGACAAUGGGCGAAAGCCUGAUCCAGCAACGCCGCGUGAGGGAUGACGGCCUUCGGGUUGUAAACCUCUUUCAGCAGGGACGAAGCGCAAGUGACGGUACCUGCAGAAGAAGCACCGGCCAACUACGUG